AACGAACGCUGGCGGCAGGCUUAACACAUGCAAGUCGAGCGCCCCGCAAGGGGAGCGGCAGACGGGUGAGUAACACGUGGGAAUCUACCCAUCCCUGCGGAACAACUCCGGGAAACUGGAGCUAAUACCGCAUACGCCCUUCGGGGGAAAGAUUUAUCGAGGAUGGAUGAGCCCGCGUUGGAUUAACUAGUUGGUGGGGUAAAGGCCUACCAAGGCGACGAUCCAUAGCUGGUCUGAGAGGAUGAUCAGCCACAUUGGGACUGAGACACGGCCCAAACUCCUACGGAAGGCAGCAGUGGGGAAUAUUGGACAAUGGGCGCAAGCCUGAUCCAGCCAUGCCGCGUGAGUGAUGAAGGCCUUAGGGUUGUAAAGCUCUUUCACCGAUGAAGAUAAUGGCGGUAGUCGGAGAAGAAGCCCCGGCUAACUUCGUGCCAGCCGCCGCGGUAACAC
rnacentral:rRNA from 1 species